GAAACCAGACGUUGUUAAUUGAGAUUGCACCUGCUGAGAAUUAAACAGCCAAUUAGAGGCUUCAUGGAAUCCUUCCAGGCUCCCUCUAGGCCAAUUACCGAAGAAGCUUCCACCUCCCCUAACCUCGGAGAAAAUCAGCGCUCCCGAAGCUGGGACCGAAGUGCGAGAGCGUGGAAUCACUCAUGUGUGUCAUCGUUCGCAAAAAAUUAGUGCCUUUGUGCAGAGCCAGUGUCACUCCACAGCCCAGUGACCAUGGAGAAAGCAGCCUUAUGAUGGGCGAUGCUCUGCCACUUGUUUCCUCUGCGAUCUUUUGCCUUGAUUGGUCCUAUAUCUACUGUGGCAGUGACUCAGGUGGUAUGGGAAACAUUUUUGGGGGAAAACCUAAAACAGGCGGCGUAGAGUUGGAGAGGUUGAGGGGAAGGAGCUACGCGGAGGAGUGAAGAGACGAUGUGGACGGACAAGGCAGCAGGAGAGAUGGAGAGGAACCCGAGUUCGAGCGCCCCGUGAGACAGAAUGUGAGCAGAGGAAGGGCAGAGACAUGGAGACAGAAUAUGAAACACAGAGCCCGACGCGAGCUCGAACGCAUGAGCAGCAAGAUCAUGACCUGAGCCGCAGUCGGUCGGAUGCUUAACCCACUGAGCCACCCAGGUGCCCCAGGCAUUUGGAUUUUGAGUCUGACAACCUCGAGUUCAAAAGCAGCUCCCUCACUAACUAGCUGUGUGUCUUCAAGCAAGUGAAUUUAUUUGACCUUCAGUGGCAUCAGUUAAAGUGUCCUGUGUUACAGAGUUCGUGGAAGGAUUAAAUAAGAAAACAAAUACAAAGCCACCGACACAGCAUAGGCUCUGGAUAAGUGUCUUCUCUCUCCACUCCUGCACAGCCCUGGGGAUUUCCCCACAAUGUGACCUGUAACAUCCCUGAACGUGAACACACACCACUAGCACAUGUCUCUGGUUGCAUUUACAUGCUGGUUUACACACACACACACACACACACACACACACACACACACACCCAGCCUGUACAGUCGCACUUGGCUAAGGGCAGCCUUCCCCAGCAGGUCAGAUAGGGACCUGGCUUGCUGAUGAUUGGACAAGCUGUGGAAGUACCCAUCACAGUGACCUGUCACAUCAGAAGGCUUUAGGAAAAACCGUGUUAAGGAAACAAGGGGUGGCAACUGGGGGUAAGUCCACUGGCGUCCCGCACCCCGCCCUGCCCCAGGAAUGUGCCUCUCAAGGGAUGCCACGCCCACCUCUGCUGAGAAGGCCCUGUCGUGCCCAGAGGUGGUGUGUCUGCAGCUGUGCUGUCCAGGAGAUUGGCACUGGCCAUGUGUGGCUUUUGAGCACUUGAAAGAUGGCUGGUGUCCCUGAGGAGUGGAAUUUUAAAUUUAUUUCAGUUAAGUUAAUUGAAAUGUUAAAACUGAUACUUGAUUUGGUGGAAAACUUUUUAACAUGUUUGGAACAACUUGUGUGAACCUACUUUUUCAACAAUGAAUUUUAUGAAAUCUAAGAACAGAUCAGAUCUUUCUGGUGAAAAUUCAGUGAGAUGUGCUAUAAAUGUAAAAUAUACACUGGAUUUUAGAGACCUAAUAUGAAAAAAUAAUGUAAAAUAUUUCAAUAAUAAUUUUCAUAUUGAUAACAUGCUGAAUUGAUAAUAGUUUGGGUACCUUGGGUUAAAUAAAAUAUAGUAUCAAAGUU